rnacentral:tRNA from 1 species
CCGACCUUAGCUCAGUUGGUAGAGCGGAGGACUGUAGUAGCUAGCAGCAGAUAAUCCUUAGGUCGCUGGUUCGAAUCCGGCAGGUCGGA